GACGAACGCUGGCGGCGUGCUUAACACAUGCAAGUCGGACGGAAAGGCCCUGCUUUUGUGGGGUGCUCGAGUGGCGAACGGGUGAGUAACACGUGAGUAACCUGCCCUUGACUUUGGGAUAACUUCAGGAAACUGGGGCUAAUACCAGAUAGGAGCUCCUGCUGCAUGGUGGGGGUUGGAAAGUUUCGGCGGUUGGGGAUGGACUCGCGGCUUAUCAGCUUGUUGGUGGGGUAGUGGCUUACCAAGGCUUUGACGGGUAGCCGGCCUGAGAGGGUGACCGGCCACAUUGGGACUGAGAUACGGCCCAGACUCCUACGGGAGGCAGCAGUGGGGAAUAUUGCACAAUGGGCGGAAGCCUGAUGCAGCAACGCCGCGUGCGGGAUGACGGCCUUCGGGUUGUAAACCGCUUUCGCCUGUGACGAAGCGUGAGUGACGGUAAUGGGUAAAGAAGCACCGGCUAACUACGUG
rnacentral:rRNA from 1 species